GACUCGUAGCAGAUAGCUCAGUAACACGUGGCCAAACUACCCUAUAGAUCCAGACAACCUCGGGAAACUGAGGCUAAUCCGGAAUAGGGCUCUCAUCCUGGAGUGGAGAGAGCCUGAAACGCUCCGGCGCUAUAGGAUGUGGCUGCGCCCGAUUAGGUAGACGGUGGGGUAACGGCCCACCGUGCCAGUAAUCGGUACGGGUUGUGAGAGCAAGAGCCCGGAGACGGUAUCUGAGACAAGAUACCGGGCCCUACGGGGCGCAGCAGGCGCGAAACCUUUACACUGCACGCCAGUGCGAUAAGGGGACUCCAAGUGCGAGGGCAUAUAGUCCUCGCUUUUUGCGACCGUAAGGUGGUCGAGGAAUAAGUGCUGGGCAAGACCGGUGCCAGCCGCCGCGGUAAUACCGGCAGCACGAGUGAUGACCGCUGUUAUUGGGCCUAAAGCGUCCGUAGCUGGCCGCACAAGUCUAUCGGGAAAUCUCUCCGCUUAACGGAGAGGCGUCCGGUGGAAACUGUGUGGCUUGGGACCCGGAAGACCAGAGGGGUACGUCUGGGGUAGGAGUGAAAUCCCGUAAUCCUGGACGGACCACCGGUGGCGAAAGCGCCUCUGGAAGACGGAUCCGACGGUGAGGGACGAAAGCUCGGGUCACGAACCGGAUUAGAUACCCGGGUAGUCCGAGCUGUAAACGAUGUCUGCUAGGUGUGACACAGGCUACGAGCCUGUGUUGUGCCGUAGGGAAGCCGUGAAGCAGACCGCCUGGGAAGUACGUCCGCAAGGAUGAAACUUAAAGGAAUUGGCGGGGGAGCACUACAACCGGAGGAGCCUGCGGUUUAAUUGGACUCAACGCCGGACAUCUCACCAGCAUCGACAAUGUGCAGUGACGGUCAGUAUGAUGAGCUUACCUGAGCCAUUGAGAGGAGGUGCAUGGCCGCCGUCAGCUCGUACCGUGAGGCGUCCUGUUAAGUCAGGCAACGAGCGAGACCCGCACCCUUAAUUGCCAGCAGCACCCUUGUGGUGGCUGGGUACAUUAAGAGGACUGCCAGUGCCAAACUGGAGGAAGGAACGGGCAACGGUAGGUCAGUAUGCCCCGAAUGUGCUGGGCGACACGCGGGCUACAAUGGCCAAGACAGUGGGAUGCAACGCCGAAAGGCGACGCUAAUCUCCGAAACUUGGUCGUAGUUCGGAUUGAGGGCUGAAACUCGCCCUCAUGAAGCUGGAUUCGGUAGUAAUCGCGCCUCAGAAGGGCGCGGUGAAUACGUCCCUGCUCCUUGCACACACCGCCCGUCAAAGCACCCGAGUGGGGUCCGGAUGAGGCCCGGUUUCCGGGUCGAAUCUGGGCUCCGCA
rnacentral:rRNA from 1 species